rnacentral:tmRNA from 1 species
UUACUGGACCCAAGGGCAGUUCUUGGCAUUUCCAACACUACCUAUAAUAUGGGAAUGAAAAGCAUUCGACAGAAA